rnacentral:rRNA from 1 species
CUAGUAAUCGCGGAUCAGCAUGCCGCGGUGAAUACGUUCUCGGGCCUUGUACACACCGCCCGUCACACCAUGGGAGUCGGUAACACCCGAAGUCAGUGACCCAACCUAUAGGAGGGAGCUGCCGAAGGCAGGUCUGAUAACUGGGGUGAAGUCGUAACAAGGUAAC